CACGCCGUAAACGAUGAAUGCUAGGUGUUGGGGAAACUCAGUGCCGCAGUUAACACAAUAAGCAUUCCGCCUGGGGAGUACGACCGCAAGGUUGAAACUCAAAGGAAUUGACGGGGACCCGCACAAGCAGCGGAGCAUGUGGUUUAAUUCGAUGCAACGCGAAGAACCUUACCAAGGCUUGACAUCCCUCUGAAGUAUAUAGAGAUAUAUACGGCUUUUAGGAGACAGAGGAGACAGGUGG
rnacentral:rRNA from 1 species